ACAGUCGUGGCCGAGUGAUUAAGGCGAUGGACUAAAAAUCCAUUGGGGUCUCCCCCGCACAAAUUCAAAUCCUGUCGAUUAUG
rnacentral:tRNA from 1 species